rnacentral:pre_miRNA from 1 species
UGGGCAGAUCUCCUCUUGAAACUAGUCUAAAAGCAAGGGAGGGGAGUUGCACCUUU